rnacentral:lncRNA from 1 species
CUCCCCAAGAAGCUCACUCAUAUUACACUCAACAACUAAUUCUUCAAGAUCUUCGCCACGAUCAUCUUCUUGAUCAUAUAGAUCAAUCUUAAGAAGCAAAAUCUACUCCACACAAGAAGCCAUGUAUGGAGAAAGGACUUGGACAAAAGAUUCAAGAUCUUAAGAAAAAAUUAAUGAAGAUCCAGAUUGGAAGCCACCAUC